GGUAGAUAUAAAACACCGACAUAUGUUAUGCGGUGGCACUUUCUCAGUACAGAAGAACGACCAUGAUAUGCAUUGCAGUUGCAAGUGUAUUCUUUGUGCAAGCUCUAGAAGCAUUUGCGGAGGCCGAUAGUCGCUGCCCAGGACCAGCUCCGGAUCCGGGUACUCCGGUUGACCACUGUAACUACUGGUGUGAAGGGGAAAACUUUGAGUGGAAGAAAGCGUAUUAUGUUAACGGAACACAAUGCAAAGUGAGUACACUGUUUCAUACGGUAAAGAUGUUUACAGGCAUUUAUACAUUGCAAU